rnacentral:rRNA from 1 species
GACGAACGCUGGCGGCGUGUUUAACACAUGCAAGUCGAACGGUGACGAGGAGCUUGCUCCUCUGAUCAGUGGCGAACGGGUGAGUAACACGUGAGCAACCUACCAUUGACUCCGGGAUAACAGUUUGAAACAGCUGCUAAUACCGGAUACGACCUCCGGAGGCAUCUGCAGAGGGGGAAAGCUCCGACGGUCAAGGAUGGGCUCGCGGCCUAUCAGCUUGUUGGUGAGGUAACGGCGCACCAAGGCGACGACGGGUAGCCGGCCGGAGAAGGCGAACGGCCACACUGGGACUACGAUACGGCCCAGACUCCGACGGGAGGCAGCAGUGGAGAAGAUUGCACAAUGGGCGGAAGCCUGAGGCAGCGACGCCGCGUGCGGGAUUACGGCCUUCGGGUUGUAGACCGCUUUCAGCAGGGACGAAGUGAGGAUGACGGUACCUGCAGAAGAAGCACCGGCUAACUACGUGCCAGCCGCCGCAGUAACAC